UCCCGGCCUAUCAGCUUGUUGGUGAGGUAACGGCUCACCAAGGCGACAACCGGGAGCUGGUCUGAGAGGAUGUCCCCCCACACUGGGACUGAGACACGGCCCAGACUCCUACCGGAGGCACCCCUUAGGAAUCUUGCCCAAUGGACCAAAGUCUGACCCAACGACCCCCCGUGCGGGAUGAAUGCCCUCGGAUCGUAAACCGCUUUCACCAUGGACGAAAUUGACGGUACCUGCCUAAAAACCCCCGGCCAACUACUUGCCAACACCCGCGGUAAUACGUACGGGGCAAGCGUUGUCCGGAUUUAUUGGGCGUAAAGAGCUCGUAGGUGGUUCGGUAAUUCCGAUGUGAAAUCUCCCCCCUCAACCUGCAGGGGUCAUUGAUACUGCCGUGACUAGAGGUCGGUAGGGGAGUGUGGAAUUCCUGGUGGAGCGGUGAAAUGCACAGAUAUCAAGAGGAACACCCGUAUCCAAGGCGGCACUCUGGGCCGAUACUGACACUGAGGAUGGAAAGCGUGCCGAGCGGACGCGACUAGAUACCCUGGGAGUCCACGCCGUAAACGGUGGUGACUAGGUGUGGGAUUCACUCAACGGAUUCCGUGCCGCAGCUAACGCAUUAUAUGCCCCGCCUGGGGAGUACGGAAUCAAUAC
rnacentral:rRNA from 1 species